rnacentral:rRNA from 1 species
AAGCGGGUGAAAAGCCCGCUCGCCGGAAGACCAAGGGUUCCUGUCCAACGUUAAUCGGGGCAGGGUGAGUCGACCCCUAAGGCGAGGCCGAAAGGCGUAGUCGAUGGGAAACAGGUUAAUAUUCCUGUACUUGGUGUUACUGCGAAGGGGGGACGGAGAAGGCUAUGUC